UGUAUUUGAUCAGUCAUGUAGCCCAC
rnacentral:piRNA from 1 species